rnacentral:misc_RNA from 1 species
AAAAGGUACCCGCGAGAGACAGCCAGCAGUUCUGUGGAGCAGCGGUGGCCGGCUAGGAUGGGCUGUCUCUGGGGUCUGGCUCUGCCCCUUUUCUUCUUCUGCUGGGAGGUUGGGGUCUCUGGGAGCUCUGCAGAUUUGAAGAUUGUACCAGGAGAGCCGCAGUGUUCCAGAGCUACUGAGGGGGCUGGGCUGGGAUUUGCUGUAUUCGAGAAGACCCCCUUGGACCCGAGAGGCUGUGGGCUUGGGGAGCAUGAGGAGGUUUCACAGCAGAAAGGACACCCCGGGGCUCCUGGAUAAGCCAGAAAAUGUGCCAGGGGAAGUCGGGCUCCAAGGGCACCACUCUGGGCUUCCAGCUGUGUGGGCUGGACCAAGAAGGCUCAGAGAAAUGAUCUCAGGCUUGAAGUGGGGAGAAGAAACUGUAUUAUGAAGGCAGACGAACAGUUCCUGCAAAGCCCCAGCACCCGCAGAGCAGACACUGCGAUGACAACGGACGACACAGAAGUGCCCGCUAUGACUCUAGCACCGGGCCACGCCGCUCUGGAAACUCAAACACUGAGCGCUGAGACCUCUUCUAGGGCCUCAACCCCAG